GUGGAUUAGAUACCCGGGUAGUCCACGCGGUAAACGAUGAAUGCUAGGUGUAGGGGGUAUCGACCCCUCCUGUGCCGGAGUAAACACAAUAAGCAUUCCGCCUGGGGAGUACGGCCGCAAGGUUGAAACUCAAAGGAAUUGACGGGGGCCCGCACAAGCAGCGGAGCAUGUGGUUUAAUUCGACGCAACGCGAAGAACCUUACCAGGUCUUGACAUCGAUGUAAUCCCCAAGAAAUUGGGAGUGGCUUCGGCCGACAGAAGACAGGUGGUGCAUGGCCGUCGCCAGCU
rnacentral:rRNA from 1 species